rnacentral:rRNA from 1 species
UACGUAGGGUGCAAGCGUUAAUCGGAAUUACUGGGCGUAAAGCGUGCGCAGGCGGUUUUGUAAGUCUGUCGUGAAAUCCCCCGGGCUCAACCUGGGAAUUGCGAUGGAGACUGCAAGGCUAGAAUCUGGCAGAGGGGGGUAGAAUUCCACGUGUGAGCAGUGAAAUGCGUAGAGAUGUGGAGGAACACCGAUGGCGAAGGCAGCCCCCCUGGGUCAUUACUGACGCUCAGGCGCGAUAGCGUGGGGAUCAAACAGG